rnacentral:rRNA from 1 species
GUUGCUCACGAUUGACGCAGAGCGUUAUGCGGACACAUGCCACUCACCAAAUAAGAGAGCUUGCUUCUCUUGUUAACGGCGGACGGGUGAGUAAUGCCUAGGAAUCUGGCUGGUAAUGGGGGAUAACGUUCGGAAACGGACGCUAAUACCGCAUACGUCCUACCGAAGAAAGCAGGGGACCUUCGGGCCUUGCUCUAUCUUAUGAGCCUACGUCGGAUUAGCUAGUUGGUGGGGUAAUGGCUCACCAAGGCGACAAUCCGUAACUGGUCUGAGAGGAUGAUCACUCACACUGGAACUGAGACACGGUCCACACUCCUACUGGAGGCAGCAGUGGGGAAUAUUGGACAAUGGGCGAAAGCCUGAUCCACCCAUGCCGCGUGUGUGAAGAAGGUCUUCGGAUUGUAAAGCACUUUAAUUUGGGAGGAAGGGUUGUAGAUUAAUACUCUGCAAUUUUGACGUUACCGACAGAAUAAGCACCGGCUAACUCUGUGCCUACAGCCGCGGUAAUACAGAGGGUGCUUGCGUUAAUCGAAAUUACUGGGCGUAAAGCGCGCCUAUGUGGUUAGUUAAGUUGUAUGUGACAUCUCCGGGCUCAACCUGGGAACUGCAUUCAAAACUGACUGACUAUGGUAUGGUAGAGGGGUGCUGGAAUUUGCUGUGUAGCGGUGAAAUGCGUAGAUAUAUGAAAGCAAGUCUCUUGGCGAAAGCUAACACCUGAGAGUGAUACUCACGCUGAGGUGCCAAGAUGAGAUGAGCAGACAGUAUUAGAUACCCUGGG